GACUCCUGCCUUUUAAUAAACCUUAAACCUAAGGUGGAUUAUAACUCAUUUGAAAGCCUGGUUUUCAGUCUUUCGCAACCGACCUGGGGAAUAAUCCAGCCGGUUCUCUUUGUAAUAGUGUACAGGGCCCCAGGUCCUUAUUCAGAAUUUUCACAGUUCUUAAUACUCUUAAAACUCAGGUCCUUAAAACAAGGUUAUUAUUGUGGGUGAUUUUAACAUUCAUCUGGACGUCGACAACGAAAGCUGUCACGGGAGGAGUCAGGACGCUACAACACGGAGGGUGUGAUUAGUUCCCUGACGGGGUUUAUUGACAUUUCUUCAAGAUACCAGGCAAGCCGGUGUACAACACAUGCAGGAGGAUGGUAGGGCUCCUCUUGCAGGCCGUAGUCAGGUGGGCCGUGGGGUCAACGACACGCCCAGGUUUCCACGUCGUGCGGGCUGAGUGUCAGGCGCUGGUCACUGGGUGACAAAACAAGCGAGGUUAGAAUACAUCUGUCUCACUCGCCCUCUUGUUUGGUGUGAGCCUGCCGCUUAAAUGGGGUUGGGUUAAGUGGCACCAGCUGCCGGUGCUCAACCUGUGAUUGCAGUGCGGCCGGUUUCUAUGGCGUCUGAUUGCAGGCCUCAGGUGACUCACCACACGGCCUUGGUACUGCAUUUAUUUCAUUGUUAGAUUCAAUUGGUUUCUGUCAGUGUGUAAAUAAACCAACUCAACCAUUUUGUCGAUGCGGCUCUUUGAGAGUGGCGCUGGACGCUAUUGCUCCUCUGGAAAGAAGAAUAGCAACAAGAAGGAAGUCUGCUCCUUGAUCCUCCCACAUCAUCAGCUCAUUACCCAUACCUGGUUCUCCUUUCCCUCACCUGAAGCACAUCCCCUCAUCAGUCACUCACUAUUUAAGGCCGUCGCAUUUGUUUGUUCCAGCGUUUUUACGAUUACCGAUAUCCCGUCCUGACCUAGCCUGCCUUCUCUUGACCAUGAACCCUUUGGCUGCGCCCUUUUUGGAUUUGUUUGCCUGUCGGAUUGCCAUCCUGUUUCUGAACUCUGCCUGUCACCGUUUACGGAUUUCCUGCCUGCCCCUCUGGAUUUGUUUGCC
ensembl:lncRNA